UAACCCGCUCCUGUCCCAGUCAUUUUUGUGCUUAUGCAACUCUCCUACUCUUGUAGUUGCAUAGUCACAAAAGUGAUUGGGACACUGCGAGCG
rnacentral:pre_miRNA from 1 species